GAUGAAGAACGUAGCGAAAUGCGAUAAGUAGUGUGAAUUGCAGAAUUCAGUGAAUCAUCGAAUCUUUGAACGCACAUUGCGCCCUUUGGUAUUCCUUAGGGCAUGCCUCUUCGAGCGUCAUUUAAACCUUCAAGCUAAGCUUGGUGUUGGGUGACUGUCCGCCUCACGGCGGACUCGCCUCAAAAUUAUUGGCGGCCGGUACAUUGGCUUCGAGCGCAGCAGAAACGCGAACUCGGGCCCGUCGUAUUGGCUCCCAGAAGCUAUCUUCACAAUUUUGACCUCGGAUCAGGUAGGGAUACCCGCUGAACUUAAGCAUAUCAAUAAGCGGAGGA
rnacentral:misc_RNA from 1 species